GACGAACGCUGGCGGCGUGCUUAACACAUGCAAGUCGAACGGAAAGGCCCUGCUUUUGUGGGGUGCUCGAAUGGCGAACGGGUGAGUAACACGUGAGUAACCUGCCCUUGACUUUGGGAUAACUUCAGGAAACUGGGGCUAAUACCGGAUAGGAGCUCCUGCUGCAUGGUGGGGGUUGGAAAGUUUCGGCGGUUGGGGAUGGACUCGCGGCUUAUCAGCUUGUUGGUGGGGUAGUGGCUUACCAAGGCUUUGACGGGUAGCCGGCAUGAGUGGGGGGCCGGCCACAUUGGGACUGAGAGACGGCCCAGAGUCGUACGGGGGGCAGCAGUGGGGAAGAUUGCACAAUGGGCGGAAGUCGGAUACAGCAACGCCGCGGGCGGGAUGACGGCCUUCGGGUUGUAAACAGCUUUCGCCUGUGACGAAGCGGGAGUGACGGUAAUGGGUAAAGAAGCACCGGCUAACUACGUG
rnacentral:rRNA from 1 species